rnacentral:rRNA from 1 species
AAUGAACGUUGGCGGCGUGGAUUAGGCAUGCAAGUCGAACGGGCCGCAAGGCAGUGGCGGAAGGGUGAGUAAUGCGACGGUAACCAACCCCGGGAAUGGGUAUAGCCGCGGGAAACUGCAGGUAAUCCCCAGCGACGUGUCUAGUCGGCAUCGGCUUGACACCAAAGUUCCGGCGUCCUGGGACGGGCCGUUGUGGUAUUAGCUAGUUGGCGGGGUAACGGCCCACCAAGGCUACGAUGCCUACCGGGCGUGCGAGCGUGGCCCGGCACACUGGGACUGAGACACUGCCCAGACUCCUACGGGAGGCUGCAGUCGAGGAUCUUCGGCAAUGGGCGCAAGCCUGACCGAGCGACGCCGCGUGGAGGACGAAGGCCUUCGGGUUGUAAACUCCUGUCGAGGGGGAGGAAGGCGUAAGCUUGACCGAUCCCUGGAGGAAGCACGGGCUAAGUUCGUGCCAGCCGCCGCCGUAAGAC